rnacentral:rRNA from 1 species
UACGUAGGGUGCGAGCGUUUAAUCGGAAUUACUGGGCGUAAAGGGUGCGCAGGCGGCGUCGCAAGUCAGGCGUGAAAUCCCCGGGCUUAACCUGGGAAUGGCACUUGAAACUACGAUGCUGGAGUAUGGCAGAGGGAGGUGGAAUUCCACGUGUAGCGGUGAAAUGCGUAGAGAUGUGGAGGAACACCGAUGGCGAAGGCAGCCUCCUGGGCCAAUACUGACGCUCAUGCACGAAAGCGUGGGGAGCAAACAGG